AAGAGAGAGGAUGUACUCUGCUCAAAUUCUGCACACAUUAAGCAGAUCGUGAAUUAUUAAGCAACUCUUUGAUGACAGAAUGGACAACCCCAGGGCCUGGGACUCAUCAGCUCGGGGGCUGAUGAGUCCACUCUAGGAUGGUGGAGAGGAUAAGUCUCUGUGGCCAGGACCAUAGAAUACUUUUUCCAUAGGGUACAGCACCUCUGCUCUGGGGUCGCGAAACCACACUCUGGGCUGUUCUACGUCUGCUGGGGACAGGCUGAACUACAACAGGAUUAUAGUAACCUCGAAUGGCUGCUUUCUCCGAGUACUCAAACUGACCAGGGGCUACCAUUACAUUUGAUCGAGGCGCAGAAUUCUCGACCUGCUCAAAGUUGGGCUUGUGGCUGCUAACAAGUUCUCCCUUGGGAGUGUAGACAGAAUGCCUGACAGAGGAGUCAGCCAAACUGGGAUCAGAACCGUGAUAGUUUAAUGUAGACGGUUUGGGUUGAAAGCCUCUGGCAAAGACUUGUCCAUAGGCCCAGUCAGUUGGAUGGCCUAUGGCGUGUUGGUCGAAGAUUGUAAGGGACAAACUGGGUCCUAAGGAGGUCCAAACCCAGGGCAGCUGCUCAGGCUAGUGAAAAGACAGCAUCAAAACAGAAAUGCUAGUGUAAGUAUCUUACGCCAAAAUAUGACAUUAAGCAACUACAUUGAGGACAUGCACAGAGUACCUCUUGCCAUGUUGUCACACCAGGAACCUCCAGCAAAGACAGUGCCAAUCAAAAGGACACUGCAAGAGAUAAAGACAUUCAAUACAAAUGCAUGAUCUAGGAAGAAACAUUUUUAAAGAGCCACAAAUUUUACCUUAGAUAUAUGGGCAGAGGUCGAUGCAUUGUUUCAGUGGUAUCGACCCAAACAACCUGAUGACCAAAUGAUUCAAGCACCUUACAACCUCUUGACAUGCAGCCACUACCCUGCCCUUCUUGAUGAACUAAUUAUGAACAGCUGGUUGUCAUGGAGACCGAACCCAAACAUUUCAUGUACUCAACCAUUAGGCAAAUUGCUUCAUUACACCAGCUGAUUAGAUAGAAAUGUCUGCUCAGCAGCAGUAUUGUGGUGGUUUAACCCAUCGAUAUUAAACAGUGUUCUAUAUAUAUGUGGUUUAACCGUCCAUUUUUGUUGCAUGCAAGUUUUUUUUAUUUUUUAUUAUUA
rnacentral:lncRNA from 1 species